UACGUAGGGGGCUAGCGUUGUCCGGAAUCAUUGGGCGUAAAGAGCGUGUAGGCGGUCCGGUAAGUCCGCUGUGAAAGUCGGGGGCUCAACCCUCGAAUGCCGGUGGAUACUGUCGGGCUAGAGUGCGGAAGAGGCGAGUGGAAUUCCUGGUGUAGCGGUGAAAUGCGCAGAUAUCAGGAGGAACACCUAUUGCGAAGGCAGCUCGCUGGGACGUAACUGACGCUGAGACGCGAAAGCAUGGGGAGCGAACAGG
rnacentral:rRNA from 1 species